rnacentral:rRNA from 1 species
CAAGUCGAGCGAGGUCCAUUCGGUGGUAACACUGAUGAAGACCUAGCGGCGAACGGGUGAGUAACACGUGAGCAACCUGCCCCGAAGUUCGGGAUAACCCGGGGAAACCCGAGCUAAUACCGGAUACCUUCCUUUGGUCGCAUGGCUAUUGGAGGAAAGAUUUAUCGCUUCGGGAGGGGCUCGCGGCCUAUCAGCUAGUUGGUGAGGUAACGGCUCACCAAGGCAUCGACGGGUAGCUGGUCUGAGAGGACAAUCAGCCACACUGGGACUGAGACACGGCCCAGACUCCUACGGGAGGCAGCAGUGGGGAAUCUUGCGCAAUGGGCGAAAGCCUGACGCAGCAACGCCGCGUGCGAGAGGAAGGCCUUAGGGUUGUAAAUCGCUUUCGGCAGGGACGAAAUUGACGGUACCUGCAGAAGAAGCCCCGGCCAACUACGUGCCAGCAGCCGCGGUAACACGUAGGGGGCGAGCGUUGUCCGGAUUUAUUGGGCGUAAAGAGCUCGUAGGCGGCUCAGUAAGUCUGCUGUUAAAGCUCCAGGCUCAACCUGGAGAGGCCAGUGGAUACUGCUGUGGCUAGAGUCCGGUAGGGGAGCGUGGAAUUCCCAGUGUAGCGGUGGAAUGCGCAGAUAUUGGGAGGAACACCAGCGGCGAAGGCGGCGCUCUGGACCGGAACUGACGCUGAGGAGCGAAAGCGUGGGUAGCAAACAGGAUUAGAUACCCUGGUAGUCCACGCCGUAAACGUUGGGCACUAGGUGUGGGAUCCCGUCAACGGAUUCCGUGCCGUAGCUAACGCAUUAAGUGCCCCGCCUGGGGAGUACGGCCGCAAGGCUAAAACUCAAAGGAAUUGACGG